GAGGCGGUGACUGGGAGCACCCGGGGCAAGGUGGGUGUGGGCCGAGCAGUGGCUAGCGCCCGUCUGCCCCUCGCUGGACCUUCGCCCAGCUGGUUUGAGCGACCCUCGGGCUGCCUGGAACACGCCCUCCUGCCGGUACGCCCGGGGGUCCCUGGGUGCUCCCUGCGAGCCCCUGGAGGAGCGCAGCCGCCGAGACGCGCGCGUUUGGGGAGCCCCGGGAACGCGCCGGACCUCGUGUGUGUCGCGAACGUUUGUCCAGCGCCCUGUGGGAAGGUCAACGAGACGCAGUUCGAAUGGUGACAGUGGUUGUUCCGAGCGCUAUCAGAGGUCCCUGCGCGGACAAGUGGCAGGCGGCUUUCGGCCUCGUGGUCUGCCAAGGCCAGGCAAGGGACGCGCACCUCCUCGGCGUUGCCCAGCCGGCGCAGGAGAUGGGCUGUUCCCGUCGGUCUCACUAGGGAGUUGCAGGGUUAGGCCUGUCUUUC
rnacentral:lncRNA from 1 species